GAUGAACGCUGGCGGCGUGCCUAAUACAUGCAAGUAGAACGCUGAAGCUUGGUGCUUGCACCGAGCGGAUGAGUUGCGAACGGGUGAGUAACGCGUAGGUAACCUGCCUCUUAGCGGGGGAUAACUAUUGGAAACGAUAGCUAAUACCGCAUAAAAGACGAUAUCGCAUGAUAUUGAUUUGAAAGAUGCAAUUGCAUCACUAAGAGAUGGACCUGCGUUGUAUUAGCUAGUUGGUGAGGUAACGGCUCACCAAGGCGACGAUACAUAGCCGACCUGAGAGGGUGAUCGGCCACACUGGGACUGAGACACGGCCCAGACUCCUACGGGAGGCAGCGGUAGGGAAUCUUCGGCAAUGGGGGCAACCCUGACCGAGCAACGCCGCGUGAGUGAAGAAGGUUUUCGGAUCGUAAAGCUCUGUUGUAAGAGAAGAACGAGUGUGAGAGUGGAAAGUUCACACUGUGACGGUAACUUACCAGAAAGGGACGGCUAACUACGUGCCAGCAGCCGCGGUAAUACGUAGGUCCCGAGCGUUAUCCGGAUUUAUUGGGCGUAAAGCGAGCGCAGGCGGUUAGAUAAGUCUGAAGUUAAAGGCUGUGGCUUAACCAUAGUACGCUUUGGAAACUGUUUAACUUGAGUGCAGAAGGGGAGAGUGGAAUUCCAUGUGUAGCGGUGAAAUGCGUAGAUAUAUGGAGGAACACCGGUGGCGAAAGCGGCUCUCUGGUCUGUAACUGACGCUGAGGCUCGAAAGCGUGGGGAGCAAACAGG
rnacentral:rRNA from 1 species